rnacentral:RNase_P_RNA from 1 species
CUUAGGUAAACGCUGCAUAUAAUUAUGUAGAGGAAAGUCCAUACUCGCAUAGUCUGAGAUGACUAUAGUGUUUCGUGCUAGAGGAAAAAAUAACUCUAGGUAGAUUAUUCUAACGGCGAUGAAAAAGGAAAGACCUUUCUUGAUUAGUCAUAAAGUGCCAUAGUGACGAUGCGUUUUAGGAAUAAAACGAGUGGAACGCGGUAAACCCCACGAGCGAGAAACCCAAAUUUGGUAGGGGAGUCCUCAUAAAUGAAAUGAAAAGAGUGAGGGAGCGAAAGCUAGAUAAAUGUUUGCCACCCGUAAGGGUACAGAAAAUGGCUUAUU